AAAUAUACUAUUUUCUCCCCUUCUGUGUAUUCUUGGAAGAGGGGAUAAAUAUCAACAGUGAUGGAAUCUACUCUAAUUGCUUGCCAAGACUAAAAAUCCAUAAACAACUCUGUUUGUCAAAGGAAUGCUGCAUAAAAAUUUUCGUACAGACAGAAAGAUUAGGACAAAUUUACAAAAGCAAUCUUUAUUCUUCUUUACAUAAAAUUGCAUAUAUAACUGCAUUAAGAGAGAAGACAAUAUCCAGGAAAAUAGUCCAGGACUGGCACAACUGUUCUAGGAAGUUACCAAGGCUCUGCAAAGGCAUCUGAGGGGGAGAGCUGAUUUUAAUUGGAACUCUAAUACAAUUCCAUUACAGUCAAGGUCUGUAAAGGUGACACAUGGAAAUAGAGGACUUUGCACGUGAGGGCGAUCUGGCUGCAACAGUCUUUCAUGUCAUUGAUUGUCAGGGUUGAUUUGGCUGCUCUGGCUACCUAGACUCAGGAAGCACGUGAGCCUACAGCUGAACUUCACUGUAGAAAGUUGUAAGAAAGGCCAAGAACUGAAGCAGAAGAGCAAGCAAGAAAGAAAAUUCUCUGCAGGCUCUGUCUUGUACUGGAGUUGCUACCUUUAGCCCACUGGAUCACUGUGCUUGAAAUUCCCACAUUAUUCAUUCUGCAAAGUUAAGACAUAAAGUAAGAUCCUGACAAAAGAGCCUUUCCUUUGACCAGUGUCCGGAAACCACAGGAUGAGCUGAGCACGAAAAUGAAAAUCGGCCAGGCGCAGGGGCACAUGCCUGUAAUCCCAUCACUUUGGGAGGCCGAGGCGGGCAGAUC